GAUGAACGCUGGCGGCGUGCUUAAUACAUGCAAGUCGAACGAAGCACCUUGGACAGAAUCCUUCGGGAGGAAGACCAUUGUGACUGAGUGGCGGACGGGUGAGUAACGCGUGGGUAACCUGCCUUGUACAGGGGGAUAACAGUUGGAAACGACUGCUAAUACCGCAUAAGCGCACAGUACCGCAUGGUACGGUGUGAAAAACUCCGGUGGUACAAGAUGGACCCGCGUCUGAUUAGCUAGUUGGUGAGGUAACGGCCCACCAAGGCGACGAUCAGUAGCCGACUUGAGAGAGUGAUCGGCCACAUUGGGACUGAGACACGGCCCAAACUCCUACGGGAGGCAGCAGUAGGGAAUAUUGCACAAUGGGGGAAACCCUGAUGCAGCGACGCCGCGUGAAGGAAGAAGUAUUUCGGUAUGUAAACUUCUAUCAGCAAGGAAGAAAAUGACGG
rnacentral:rRNA from 1 species